AUUGAACGCUGGCGGCAGGCCUAACACAUGCAAGUCGAGCGGAUGAAGGGAGCUUGCUCCUGGAUUCAGCGGCGGACGGGUGAGUAAUGCCUAGGAAUCUGCCUGGUAGUGGGGGAUAACGUCCGGAAAUGGGCGCUAAUACCGCAUACGUCCUGAGGGAGAACGUGGGGGAUCUUCGGACCUCACGCUAUCAGAUGAGCCUAGGUCGGAUUAGCUAGUUGGUGGGGUAAAGGCCUACCAAGGCGACGAUCCGUAACUGGUCUGAGAGGAUGAUCAGUCACACUGGAACUGAGACACGGUCCAGACUCCUACGGGAGGCAGCAGUGGGGAAUAUUGGACAAUGGGCGAAAGCCUGAUCCAGCCAUGCCGCGUGUGUGAAGAAGGUCUUCGGAUUGUAAAGCACUUUAAGUUGGGAGGAAGGGCAGUAAGUUAAUACCUAGCUGUUUUGACGUUACCAACAGAAUAAGCACCGGCUAACUUCGUG
rnacentral:rRNA from 1 species